AGUAGUAAUCAUAAGAGUCAUAAUCCCACCAUCAUCAUCAUCACCUCCCUGUGAAAAGACUACUUCCCAAGCAAUGGAGAUCCCAAGAAUCUCAAAGAUCUGAGGGGGCGAAGAAAACUCACCCCACACUCCUGGACCCUCCAGGCCACUGCAGCUAAGGGAGGAGAGCAACUCCAUAGAAACAGUGACAAGAUUUCCUGGAAGCUGCCCAGGACAUGGUAUCUGGCUGGAGCCGUGGUCUAACAGCUGUGUGGGCAUUAUAAAUCUCUCUCUUGGAGAUGAGACUCCGAGGCUCUCGAUGGAUCCUGCUAAUGGUAAAUCUGUCAGUGCCCACAGCACGAGACCUGGACUCAGAGCAUCAAGAUAUCACUGUGUAACAGAAAGGCUUUCGGAAUUCCACAGACUUGAAAAGGAGAGUGAAAAGGAAACAACCCAAGCACGGGGACUGACGCUCCUCUGGGAAAGGCACGGCACAGGCUGACUGCCCAGUUCCUCAUUGGGCACUAUCCCGUACAUUCUGGUUUGGCGGUGCCCCUGCUCACAUCCAAAGGCAGGGUCAUCUCCCCUCUGCUUCAGUCAGGGCUGGUCUCAGGACAGAAUGCAGCAGAAGUGAGGCAGGUCAACAUCCAGACCUCAGCCCUAUGAAGUCUUUCAGCUUCACUGUUCACCACAUCAAGAAGCUCAAGCUAUCCAGCUGAAAAGGCCACACAGAGGAAAACCAAGCACCCGGGCAGACAGCCAACACCAACUACCAGACAGGAGAGGGAGGACAACUUGGAUCUUUUAGACCCAGCCAUGCUCCCAGGAGAGCGUAGCCACAUAAGGUGAAGAACUACCCAGCAG